CAUGGCCAGCCUGGUGGUGCUGGAGCAACACCUCUGGCUAACGCUGACAGAGAUCAGGGAUGCUGAGAAAAUGGCCUUCCUCGACUCGCCAGUCUUGCUGAAAGGGGCUAUUCGGCUCCGCUGUACAUGGGUUCACUGAACGGUUUUCGGAGGCUCAGAAGACGUCACAGGCGCUGUGUCACUUCCUCCCUAAACGCCCUGGCACUGCGGCUAUGUGUCGCCAGAAGAGCCCCGCUGCUCAGCCUGCAAAGCCAGCGCAGCAUCAGCCUCAGCGGAAGACGGAGCCUGGGCUGAAACAGCACUCCAGGUCGGUGAAACGCUUCCUCUUCCGUAGUGUCAAGGUCCCCGCCCACGAGUUGUGCUGGACCCCGAGCCGCCGAAGCCAUCCUGAGGUGCUAGAGAGGAAAAGGAAGGGCCCCGUUGUAGACUACUGUGAUUUAACUAGUAAUAAAUUUCUUUCAUAUAUCUGCAAAUGUAUUUUGGACAACUUUAAGAAAUCAUGAAUUAACGAUAUCUGCAAUAUGAUUAUGACUAGUCAAACACCAGUUAGAGAUAUCUUGAAUUAUAAUAUUUAAUAAUUCAGUUAGAGUUGUAUUUAAUUUAAUUAUCACUAGUUAAAUUGAAAUUGGAUAUAUCUCUAAUUAGAAUUAUGCCUAGUACAAAAUCAAUCAUAGAUAUCUUUAAUUACAAUUUCUACUAGUCAAAAUGCUCAUUUGUAGAUAUCCGAAAAUAUAUUCCAGUUGAAGUCAAUGGAACAAUAUGACUAGUCAUAAUGGCAUUGUAGAUCAUACCUGUGGACCCUCCCAUUUUUCCCAGGAUUCUCCCGUAUUUUACCAUUCUAUCCCGCUAUCAUCCCGUUUAAAUAUUUUCCCGUAUUUCUCCCGUAUUUGUAAUAUUUCUAUAAAAAAAUACCACUGGGUGUAUUUUUGCUACAUUCGCCUUCAGUAAAACUCCCAUAAUUUGUAUGGCCCAAACCUCAUUAGGCUACAUGAAUAAUCAUGAAAACAAAUUCCAAGGUUGCCCAGUUGCCAGAUCUUGUAUGAAACGCAUCCUUCUCACACAGUUGACACAUACAAGUUUCAAACCAUUUGUUUCCUCAACUUGGCAACCUACAACAGUGACGAGUACCGCGGGAAGGAAAGGAUAGAAACAGGAGAAGACUCAGGUGGUGCUCCGGUGAAAAAACUUCAACAAAUAUACAUGAAAAUUGAGAUAGCUUGAACAUCAAAAGGCUAUAGUUUAAUUGAUUAAAUAUGAGAGCUGCAAGUUGCAAAAUCAGGUGCUGCGCUGUUUUGUUUACUGUGGUUACCGGGGAAAUGGCUAUAUUCCUGACGAAAAGCAAAAGAAUGAAGAGAGAAUGAAUUAGCAUUUUUCAAUAAGCCCUUCUAUUUUUUAUUUUAGUCCAAAGCCAAAAAUGACCCUUCUUUAUACGCAGAAAACACACAGUUUAAAUAAUUGUUUGAUAAUAAUUAAAUUAAAAUAAUAAAUUAAUAUAAUAAUAAUAUAAUAUAAUAAUUGAUACUUUUGCCCCACCCCCGUCUCCUGUAUUUUGGGACCCAAAUGUUGACAGGUAUGUUGUAGAUAUCUUCAAUGCAUAUAAUGACUGGCCAUAAUCACAUUGUAGAUAUCUUAAUUCCAAUUUAGGCCAUAAGGUGAAGCCGUUUUUCAUUUAAUGCCGUUCCCAUAUAUGGGGCACUAAAUUCUUUUCAUUUCAAUAAAAAGAUCUAUUGGUUUUGAGCGAGAAAAUAAAAGUUCUCCAUUUAUAAUCCUGCAGUUUAUUUUUUAUACAUGUCUAAAGUCGGCGAUAUUCCUUACUCGCAUAAACAUAUUUUGAUCAUGAGUGAUUAGGCUUCGCGUCACGUGUGGGAAGCACAACCAAUAAAGGGGCGGUCACACUAGACUUUGAACGUGCAAAUUUUUUUCAGAUGCCGCUGCGAAUAUGGGCGGGAGCAGGUAACGGUCUCCCCUCAGUUAUCAUAACAUGGAUUAAUGUGCUUGUACUGUGCCUUUUGCGACGGCGUCGAAAGCGUUUUAUUAUGUUUUACUCUCUGUCUGUCUCUCUCUAUAUAUAAAUACACACUAAGCAAUAAAAAAUUAUAAAAUGUGUCCUCAUUCAAAUGUACCAUCUGUUCCUGUUUCCAUUAACACUGCGAACCAUGAAGCUUUUUUUUUUUUAUAAUCUUUUAAAGAUGUAUUAUAUAAAAUAGGAUGCUGCGCUACGGCUAAAAUUAGCGCUUCCUUAAUUUUUGAAUUUCUGUCAGAGAGGUCACGCAGUGACGUAUUGAUAUUCUACUGAUCCCCCCGUCUUCACGUGAUGCGAAUUUGCAGGUCAGAGUUCACCAAACUUGAACUUUGGAACGCAGCGAAAUGUGAAAUUUUUCGCAUGAGCUUGCGUUUCCGGUCUGACGCAUUCGCAUGCAUAUGAAUGGAAGUCAAUGGAACGAAAAGUGCAGUGUGACCGCCCCAGGCGGUCGCUUUUUGUACGACAUGUAAACAUGAGUCCAAGAUGUCUGCGCCCUUGUUGUCAAUAUUGAGUAGCGAAGAAGAGGCAAUUACGGCCAGACCUCCUUCAAAACUCCGUAAAAAGGAUUAUAAACAAUGCUAUAUGCAUCUCACGUCCAUAAAGAAAGAAGAAACAAAGGAUUUUACACGCACACGGUGGGAUGCAUUCAGAAAUAGCGUCAAACUGUGGCUUGGUUUGCAGGGUGAGAAUCAGAGAAUAGCAGAAACAUACAAACAUUGUCUAGAAAUCGAGUUUGAAAAUGUUCCAGAAGACGCUGGGUUUCACUCCACUUGCUACAGGCGUUUCAUUGACAAAAAGCGCUUGGAUGCGGCAGAGAAACGUGUCACACAGCGUCCUGAAGUUCAAGAUGCUCACAAAGACCAGUCUGUGUCAUCGAGUAGUAGCACAUCAAUAUCUGAAUGUCCGACAAAGAAACUUAGGUCCAGGACGGGCCUGCCGGUAGCUUGUGCAGGUCCUGUGCUUCCUGCAUUGUGCAUCAUUUGUAAGAAAACGGACAAGUACAUUACUGUGGCAGGCAAACGCCAGAAGGGCCAUCUUUCACAGGCAGAAACAUUGUCAGCAGGUGGGUAAACAAACACACGUUUGAACUUUGAAGUUUUAUGCCAUAUGCUGGACACCAUGGCUAAAUUAAAAUUAUGUAAUUUAUUUUAUGUUUACAGAUUUGCAUUUUGCAUAUAGCUACAGCCAGAACACUCAAUAUUGCUUAACUCUUAACAGUUUUUACAUAAUGGUUUUUAUUUACAAACUUGUUUCAUUAUAUUUAUCUAUUUAUUCACAGGCCAGUUGUAGAAAGCUGCUGAGAUGAAAGAAGACACUAGCAUUCUUGUGCAUAUUCAGGACAAAGACUGUGUGUCUAUGGAGGUGCGAUACCACUGUUACAGACAGUACACCAGGUUCUUGACAAAGUCUACUGCAACAGUUACUGGGACCUCAGAAGAACACUCUUUGGCACAGCAAUUCAAUAUGAUCAAAUGUGUAGUGGAAGAAAUGAGCCAACCUUCGAUGCCAGCUACAAGAUCUUCUGUGAGAGGAUCAUCCGCCAUAGAAUAAUUGUAAACCAAGAGGUGCUGACAAUGAUGCAGCUAAGAAGUAUCUUUUUAAAUCUUGUGAAAAAACAUGAAGAUCUUGAUGCUUCAAACUACAGGCAGGAUAAAUUGAAGAGGAGGUUGAGCCCCAGCUGGUGUUUCACUCACCCAACAAGCACAACAUCAGUGAGCUGGUUUUUGUUGAGACACUGUCUGCAGACAAGCUGAUAGACAGGCUACCUCAUCCAUCAGGUACAGAAACAACAGAGUCAACUGAGGUAACUAGCCAAAGUGAUGGUGAAAACACGACAAAUACAGCAUCUGUUCCACAAAGACAAACCUCAGUGGCCUUUAUCAAUACUACAGAAGACACAAGGACACUUUAUAGUGCAGCAUUGAUAUUAAAGAUGCUUCUAUGUGACUCUCCCGGUAUGACAUGUCCAUGGCCACCCACGUCUGAUGAUUUAAAUGUGAGUGAAGCAAAAUCUGUUGUGCCACUUGAACUGUAUAAUCUGAUUUCCUGGAUUAUAGGUGCAACUGAGGAACCAACACUGGCCCAUUAUGUUGAUACUCCAGAUGAUUUGAAUCUAAAAGUGAUAUCUAUUUGUCAGGACAUUGUGUAUCUGGCAUCUAAGGGCCGAAGGCAGACACCUAAAUCAUUUUGUCUUGGUCUAACCAUUCGCCAUUUAACAGGUUCAUCACAAAUACUGAAAAAAGAAAGAGGAAUACCUAAAUGCAUUUACAAGUCUUGGUAGCAGUUUUAAGAUGGACCAGUCUACCUUUGACAUACUUUGCAAAUAUGUGUGCCACCUGUAUGGCCAGUCAUCUGCCAAAUAUGUGAACGCUGCAAGAUACAAAGCAUUCUGCAUGGCAUCGUCUGCUUUACCAGAGUUAUACAUGCCCCCGACAAGUGACGCCCUGCACCAACACUGCAAAAGGGCAAACUACCAAGCAGCCAUAAUGAGACAUUCUCUGAAAGGUAUAAUGUGUGCUCCUUCACCCGUUGGCAAUGGAUGGCACCUCGAGGAUGGGGAGUUAACAGUGAACUGGAUGACUAGAAAUCCUGCCCCUGAAAGUGUGUUGCAGGUAGUCCACUGCAGUUGCAAGCAAGGCAAAUGUGAGACUGGAAGAUGUUCCUGUAUGUCUGUAAGACUGUCUUGUACUGAUUUUUGUCGGUGCCAAAACUGUGCAAAUGUUUCCCAGGAAACAGAAGAAAGAGCUACAUGGGAUAAUGACUCUGAUGAUAGUGAUAGGGAUGAUACUGAUGAGUAAAGAUGUACUGUGCAUUAUUUUAAGCUGAUUUUCAGCUAGAAUGAAUGUGUUGCAGAAUUGUUCAUUUUUGCCAUUAUUCAUAAUUAAGGCGGGUGUGGUCGCAUUUGAGUCAUUUCAGCCAGCCUGGGCCAAAGUGUGCUUCUUUUUUAUGUUUCUUUGAUUACACAGUGCCUACUGAAAAUUUUGAUGUAUAAUACAUCACAGUUUUGCUAAAUUUACAAUGUGUAUGUUUAAUUUUGCUUGGUGCCAAUCCAUGAAGUUGAAGCGUAUUUUGUACAAAUUUGCCAUAUUUUAUGGUCUACAUUCACACUUGAGUAUAUAAUGCACCAAUAUCUUUCUCAAAUGAUAAGGUACAAGUAU
ensembl:lncRNA